rnacentral:rRNA from 1 species
GAUGAACGCUGGCGGCGUGCCUAAUACAUGCAAGUCGAGCGAACAGAUGAGGAGCUUGCUCCUCUGACGUUAGCGGCGGACGGGUGAGUAACACGUGGAUAACCUACCUAUAAGACUGGGAUAACUUCGGGAACCCGGAGCUAAUACCGGAUAAUAUAUUGAACCGCAUGGUUCAAUAGUGAAAGACGGUUUUGCUGUCACUUAUAGAUGGAUCCGCGCCGCAUUAGCUAGUUGGUAAGGUAACGGCUUACCAAGGCGACGAUGCGUAGCCGACCUGAGAGGGUGAUCAGCCACACUGGAACUGAGACACGGUCCAGACUCCUACGGGAGGCAGCAGUAGGGAAUCUUCCGCAAUGGGCGAAAGCCUGACGGAGCAACGCCGCGUGAGUGAUGAAGGUCUUCGGAUCGUAAAACUCUGUUAUUAGGGAAGAACAAAUGUGUAAGUAACUAUGCACGUCUUGACGGUACCUAAUCAGAAAGCCACGGCUAACUACGUG